AAUUAUACCUAAUAAAACUGAAAAAGGAAAAAAAAAAAAAAGAAAAGGAGUGAAGAGUGACAGUUUUCCUGGGUGGUCGCUGUUCUGUUUGCUGUAACCAAUCUGCAACAUUUCAGAAAAAGACAGUU
rnacentral:snoRNA from 1 species